GCGGGGAGGAGACAUUAAGAAACUGCGGAGGGAGGAGAGCGCAGAAGGAGGGGCCUACGGGUGGAAGGAGAGGCCAAAUCUUCAGCGGCUUAGAGCGUCUGCUAAGGAACAGAAAACGAAGUAAAAUUUGCUGGAUGGGGGCCAGGGCUCCGGGCCUAGUGAGCAGCCGGCAGGCAGGGGGGCGUGGAUUCCCUUUACUUCGAUCGGACUAUGCCAAGAAGGCACCCCUUCUCGCUUCGGGAAUGGCGCGGUCCAACCGCGUCAAUCUGUCGCGGUUAGCGGAGCGGCUAGAGGCUGCGGUUCUGCCUCCGAGGUCAUCAGCUGUCUGGACAGCGUUUGUCCUCCAGCCUCCCGACGUCGAUCCUCCAGAAAGGGGCUGGACAGGGCCAGGUUGAGAGAGAUAUCAAAUAUUACACAGUAUCGCUU